UAGAGUUUGAUCCUGGCUCAGGACGAACGCUGGCGGCGUGCCUAAUCUAUGCAAGUCGAGGGAGUUUAGGCUCCCGGCGAACGAGUGAGUAAUACAUAGGAACGUGCCCCAAAGAGGGGGAUAACCCACCGAAAGGUGGGAUAAUACCCCAUAAUCUCUUCGGAGCAAAGGUAUACCUUUUCGGAGGUAUUUCCGCUUUGGGAGCGGCCUAUGUCCCAUCAGCUAGUUGGUAGGGUAAAGGCCUACCAAGGCUAUAACGGGUAGGGGGCGUGAGAGCGUGUACCCCCACGGUGGCACUGAGACACGGGCCACACACCUACGGGUGGCAGCAAGUAGGAAUCGUGCGCAAUGGGCGAAAGCCUGACGCCGCGACGCCGCGUGAGGGAUGAAGGCCUUCGGGUUGUAAACCUACAUUAAAAAGUCACGGCUAACUUCGUGCCAGCAGCAGCGGUAAUACGGAGGUGGCAAGCGUUGUCCGAUGUUAUUGGGCGUAAAGAGUUCUGUAGGCGGAUUGGUAAGUUAUAUGUUAAAUACAGGAGCCCAACUCCUGUACGGCAUGUAAAACUACCUAUCUAGAGCAAGCUAGAGGCUAGCGGAACGUACGGUGUAGUAGUGAAAUGCGUUGAUAUCGUACGGAACACCAAAGGCGUAGGCAGCUAGCUGGGGCUUUGCUGACGCUGAGAGACGAAAGCGUGGGGAGCGAAACGGAUUAGAUACCCGUGUAGUCCACGCCGUAAACGAUGCCGACUAGGAGGUAGUUCUUUUACAGAAUUACUUUCGAAGCUAACGCGUUAAGUCGGCCGCCUGGGGAGUACGGUCGCAAGGCUAAAACUCAAAGGAAUUGGCGGGGACCCGCACAAGCGGUGGAGCGCCUGGUUUAAUUCGAUGAUAAGCGAAGGACCUUACCUGGGUUUGACAUGCUACUGCACAUCCCCCGAAAGGGGGAAAGCCUUCGAGGGUGUAGCACAGGUGGUGCACGGCUGUCGUCAGUUCGAGUCGUGAGAUGUUCGGUUAAGUCCGUUAUCGAACGCAACCCCUAUCGUUAGUUGUAUCACUCUAACGAGACUGCCUCUGUAAGGAGGAGGAAGGUGGGGAUGACGUCAAGUCAGCGUGGCCCUUAUACCCAGGGCGACACGGGCGCUACAAUGGUGAGUACAAAGGGUUGCAACACGGCGACGUGAAGCUAAUCCCUAAAAACUCGCCCCAGUUCGGAUUGGAGUCUGCAACUCGACUCCAUGAAGUUGGAAUCGCUAGUAAUCGCCGGUCAGCCAUACGGCGGUGAAUACGUUCUCGGGUCUUGCACACACUGCCCGUCAGUUGUGGGAAGUUGGAAAUACCCAAAGUCUCUCCUUUAGGAGGGCCUAAGGUAGAGCCAAUGACCAACAAUAAGUCGUAACAAGGUAACC
rnacentral:rRNA from 2 species